AUACAAACAGCAGUUUAUUUACGUUUUUAUUUCAUUUUAUGUUCUUGCAAAGCUUGAUUGUUGUGUCUUGAUAAUUUAUCAUACUCUAAAAUCAUGAAAAUAUAAAUAGUUUUCGAAUAAAAUUCUAUAUUUUGCAAACAAUGCCUUUGGCUUUGUUUACAUACGGACUGUACCGCAUAAAGAUGCGGUAAAACCCCCCCCAAAAAGAACAAAACAUAAACAUAAACAUUGCUUAAAAAUCGUUCUAAAUUCCAGUUCCUGUGAAUAAUGCACAAAUUUCGAGGUGCAGUUCUGGCAAAAAGGGCAACUCGUUGCCCCCGUAAUGUUUGGGCAACGGGGGCAGUUUCCCCCGCUGCCCCCGUGGCUCCGGCGCCCCUGGCUGUGGCAAGAUACUCUUGAAACACUGAGCGUCAGCUGGUUCCGUUUCUGGAUCCAAGUCAAUCCUUGAUUUAUGAUCUGCCUAUCUUUAUAAAGGUUAGGUCUUUUAUCGUAGCCUGUGUGAUUCUUGCGAUGUCCAUUAAGUAAAAAAUAAUUUAGGUUUCCGCUUCCUGUCUUUUCGAGCGGCUUUGCAUGUCGUGAUAGGUAAUCGGACUGGACUGGUUGCUUUUUC